GCUCAGAAACUCAAAGGAAUUGACGGGGGCCCGCACAAGCGGAGGAGCAUGUGGUUUAAUUCGAUGAUACGCGAGGAACCUUACCUGGGCUCGAACGUAAGAUGACUGUAGGUGAAAGCUUACAUCUCUUCGGAGCAUUUUACGAGGUGCUGCAUGGUUGUCGUCAGCUCGUGCCGUGAGGUGUCGGGUUAAGUCCCAUAACGAGCGCAACCCUACCUUUAGUUGCCAUCAGGUAAUGCUGGGGACUCUAAAGGAACUGCCUACGCAAGUAGUGAGGAAGGCGGGGAUGACGUCAAAUCAGCACGGCCCUUACGUCCAGGGCUACACACGUGCUACAAUGGCCGAUACAGAGGGCAGCUACCUGGUGACAGGAUGCAAAUCUCCAAAGUCGGUCUCAGUUCGGAUCGGAGUCUGCAACCCGACUCCGUGAAGUUGGAUUCGCUAGUAAUCGCGCAUCAGCCAUGGCGCGGUGAAUACGUUCCCGGGCCUU
rnacentral:rRNA from 1 species